rnacentral:ncRNA from 1 species
CCCGAACACCGUUCGGGACGAAAUGUGGCGGUAUAUCCGCUGAAUCGCAAG